AAGCACUUGAUCCUCUUCCAGCUCACAACUCAGCUCACAAUUGCCUGUGACUCUAGUUCUAGGGGGAAUGGCCUUUUAUGGGCCUCUCUGAACACUGGACAUUCACACGAUGCACAUACAUACCACAGGCAAAAGACUCACCCAUAAAAUAAAAUAAAUCUUAAGGAAAAGAUCAUAGUUGGCUAGUGGAUUACAAAGAUUAUUCAAACCAAUUGGCAAUACACCCUCCUCUCCAGUGCCUCAUCACUAACUUCUCUCUGCAGAGCCUCGCCUCCCUGGCUUGGUUUGCUAGUGGCUGACCCUUAGCUGAAGCUUUCUCUCCAUCGCAGGAAGGUUUGGGAGGGCCAAGCCUGCCACCUGGGGGUGGGGGUGGGGUUAGUGAUUAAACCCUGGGAUCUGGGCAAACCCAGACUCAAAUCCUGGGAGUUACUUUAUUUCUUGAACUUGAGUUCCUUCCAUCCAUGAAAUGGGGUUGUAGUAGUACCCACCUCAUGGAGUUAAAAAGAGUAAAGAAGAUGUCUCAGACAAAGCUCUUGGCACUUUGCUGUGGCCUGACCCAGAAUAGGCACUCUGUGAACACAGUCAUCAAUGUGAAUAGUAGCAGCAGUAACUUCCUUCCCCGGAGAAGUCCUGCAUUGUCUUCCUCCUGCCCACCCCUGGCAGCUCUUUGAAGUUUAACUGCCUGUCAUCCAAAGCUGAGACUUGAGUGUAGCCAUGACUGGAAUCUCAGGGCCAGCACAGAUGGGCUACCUAGCAUGGAGGGUAUAGAUGUUUGGAAUGAGUCUUUUCAUUCUGAUAAUCUGAACUCUUUGCCCUGUCCAUUAGGGAUGCGGAGAUGUUGUGGACACAUCCUUGGACUGUUUAUUGGCCAGGAAGCCACAAGGUGGGGGUGGGGCCUAGCUACCAACCACUUCUACAAACCGCUGCCCACUCUGACUUCUCAUCUGUCUCUUCUCUCAGAAAACAGGACCAUGAUCAGAAAAGCAAACUCAGCCCCAGCCUUGCACCUUGGUCUUGUGGCUGUGAAGCAGACAGAGCUUCCUGCCUGGCUCCUCUGGCCUUAUGACUGGCCUGCUAGGUUCCCCUUGUAGCCUCUGCAGAUUAGGCUAAGCAGACAGAGUAGAAACACUGUGGAACCAGAAACUUACCACUGGUCUAACCGUGACCAAAUGCUUUUAACUCUCAGGGGCUCAGUACUCCCUCCGUUGUGUUGUGGAGGCAGGAGGACCCGGAUUUCAAAACUAGGUUUGGCUACAAAGCAAGUUCAAGACCAGCCUAUGUUACACUAGACAGGCUCAAGCAAAUUGAAACAAAAACAUAGGUUAAUGCCCUCUGCCUGUUGGGAUCCGUGUAACCUUGGUGCUGUUCUCUGUAUUGCCUUUGAAUUAUUCAGAAGCCCUGUACUGAGGCCCUACUGUGUGUGGUGAGCCCAGCUCCUCUCUCUGUGCUUCCUUCUCCUGCUGUUUUUUUCCUCUUCGUUUUGCAGGGCCUGCCUUGCCCUCCAUCCAUCUUGCUAUAGGAUCUACAACAAAGAGCCUGCUAGCCUCCAGGAUCAGGCUGCCUCAAUGGGCUUCAGGUCCCUUAUGGGGGGUGCUCACGUCUUUGAGCUUGUGGCCUGCCUUCUUAGCAGGGAAAUAGAUUUCUGAAGGAGAAAGGUGUGUCCUAGGAGCUGUCAGUGCCCCCCCCCCCCAGUGAAGCUCUCUGCAGCUUGGGUGGAGAGCUAUCGCCUUCUAGGCAAACGAAGCUGGGAGCCAUUGAUUUGUCUCUUAUCACCCCUUAGAAAAGAAGAGCUACCCUGUGGGAAGGCUGUUUACUGUGGAGGGUUUGUCCCAGAGAGCAGUGGGGACACCAAAAUGAGGGCACAGGUCCCCUCCUGUGCCACCCUCUCUCUUUGCUGAGUUGAAGCCUGUGCCUUCCCUAUACCAGGAAUAUGGGCGCUCCGAGGUCACCGGUCCUGUGUGCCUCACUGCAGUGACCUCUCCGCCCGACUGGGACUGGCCGGAUGUUCUUACUAAUAAGCAAACUGCAUUACCAUCUCGACAGAAUUAACC
rnacentral:lncRNA from 1 species